UCUCCGUUGGUGAACCAGCGGAGGGAUCAUUACAGAGUUUUCACAACUCCCAACCCUUGUGAACCGAACCCAUUCUGUUCUCGUUGCUUCCGGCGGGCGCGACCGGGGGCCCGAAACCGCAACCCGGCCCCGCCCGCGGGGGGAGACGGGCGCUACGAACCUUUUCCUCUCAACCACCAGAGAAAGGCUGAGAAAACAAACAAACAAAUCAAAACUUUCAACACGGGGCCUCUAGGCUCUCACAACGAUGAAAAACGCAGCAGAUGGAACAAGCACACG
rnacentral:misc_RNA from 1 species